CCUACGGGCGGCUGCAGUGGGGAAUAUUGCACAAUGGGCGCAAGCCUGAUGCAGCCAUGCCGCGUGUGUGAAGAAGGCCUUCGGGUUGUAAAGCACUUUCAGCGGGGAGGAAGGCGGUGAGGUUAAUAACCUCAUCGAUUGACGUUACCCGCAGAAGAAGCACCGGCUAACUCCGUGCCAGCAGCCGCGGUAAUACGGAGGUUGCAAGCGUUAAUCGGAAUUACUGGGCGUAAAGCGCACGCAGGCGGUCUGUCAAGUCGGAUGUGAAAUCCCCGGGCUCAACCUGGGAACUGCAUUCGAAACUGGCAGGCUAGAGUCUUGUAGAGGGGGGUAGAAUUCCAGGUGUAGCGGUGAAAUGCGUAGAGAUCUGGAGGAAUACCGGUGGCGAAGGCGGCCCCCUGGACAAAGACUGACGCUCAGGUGCGAAAGCGUGGGGAGCAAACAGGAUUAGAUACCCGUGUAGUC
rnacentral:rRNA from 1 species